rnacentral:rRNA from 1 species
GACGUAGGGCGCGAGCGUUGUCCGGAUUUAUUGGGCGUAAAGAGCUCGUAGGCGGCUUGUCGCGUCGACUGUGAAAACUCGGGGCUCAACUCCGAGCUUGCAGUCGAUACGGGCAGGCUAGAGUUCGGUAGGGGAGACUGGAAUUCCUGGUGUAGCGGUGGAAUGCGCAGAUAUCAGGAGGAACACCGGUGGCGAAGGCGGUUCUCUGGCCAGUUUCUGACGCUGCAGCGCGAAAGCGUGGGGAUCAAACAGG